AUGGAGAAUUCAGGAACCUUCUCAGUUCCCCAGAAAACACUUUAUUCCAGAAUGAUGUGCUCCAUGACUGUUGCCUUCCUCCAAUCAUCAUACCCUGCAUCUCUAGGAAUCUAUCAAAUGUCCAGGAGCUCCUGGGGGUGCAACAGGGAGCCAAGCCAGAGAUGCUGUCUGUCUUCAGGGAGCCUACAGACCUGCUGCUCUCUCACCAGAGUCUGGGUUCCUGACAAGCACCACAUCUUCCAUCUCUGAAGCCUGGGGUACAGAACAUGCUCUGCGAAGCCCAGGGGACUGAGCAUCAAGGUCAUUGCUGAUCAAGGGGCAAGAACAGAAGAGGAAGAGCCUGGGCAGACACGCCCUCCCAUCCAGCCUGCAGAUGAGGGCAGGGGUAGAGCGGAAAAGGAGAGAGCCUGCCCUGCUGUGGAGGGACUUCCAGGAAGAAGAUACUAGAGCUCCUGAAAGCAGCCGUAGGAGCCAUGGUGUGCUGGGAGCAGGGUUCCCCAAUAAAAUAUAGCAUGCCCAGUUAAAUUUGGAUUUC
rnacentral:lncRNA from 1 species